GUGGGGAAUCUUGCGCAAUGGGCGAAAGCCUGACGCAGCCAUGCCGCGUGAAUGAUGAAGGUCUUAGGAUUGUAAAAUUCUUUCACCGGGGACGAUAAUGACGGUACCCGGAGAAGAAGCUCCGGCUAACUUCGUGCCAGCAGCCGCGGUAAUACGAAGGGGGCUAGCGUUGCUCGGAAUUACUGGGCGUAAAGGGCGCGUAGGCGGACAGCUUAGUCAGAGGUGAAAGCCCAGGGCUCAACCUUGGAAUUGUCUUUGAUACUGGCUGUCUUGAGUUUGGGAGAGGUGAGUGGAACUCCGAGUGUAGAGGUGAAAUUCGUAGAUAUUCGGAAGAACACCAGUGGCGAAGGCGACUCACUGGCCCAAUACUGACGCUGAGGCGCGAAAGCGUGGGGAGCAAACAGGAUUAGAUACCCGUGUAGUCC
rnacentral:rRNA from 1 species